rnacentral:rRNA from 1 species
AACGAACGCUGGCGGCAUGCCUAACACAUGCAAGUCGAACGGGAUCCUAGCUUGCUAGGUGAGAGUGGCGGACGGGUGAGUAACACGUGGGAAUCUGCCUUUUGGUUCGGGAUAACCGCGGGAAACUGCGGCUAAUACCGAAUGCCCUCGAGAGAGGAAAGAUUUAUCGCCAGAAGAGGAGCCCGCGUCCGAUUAGGUAGUUGGUGGGGUAAAGGCCUACCAAGCCGACGAUCGGUAGCUGGUCUGAGAGGAUGAUCAGCCACACUGGGACUGAGAUACGGCCCAGACUCCUACGGGAGGCAGCAGUGGGGAAUAUUGGACAAUGGGGGCGAACCCUGAUCCAGCAAUGCCGCGUGAGUGAUGAAGGCCUUAGGGUUGUAAAGCUCUUUUGCCAGGGAAGAUGAUGACUGUACCUGGAGAAUAAGCCCGGCUAACUUCGUGCCAGCAGCCGCGGUAAU